rnacentral:lncRNA from 1 species
AUCAGAGUGAGCUCACUGCUGACACGCUCUCCUCACAGCUGGCACCUUCACCGAGUCUCUGAGAGGGUGUCCCCGACCACUCAGUCACCUUGAAGACGUCCCAGGCUGAAAGGUGUCACAUCUGAAAAGGUCCUUCUGGUUCUGCUGUGUGGGAUGCCGCCUCAGCGUGGCCUGACGGGUGGUGCUGGGUCCCUGUCUGGGAUUCGAGCCAGUGAAACCCUGGGCUGCUGAAGCAGAGCAUGCGAACUUAACCACUCGGCCACGGGGCCGGCCCCAAGGGCUGAAGGGCCUUCUGUGAAAGGAUCUCGAGUCUUCUCCAUGAUUGGGUUUUGGAUAUAUGCACAUGCAGAUAGGCAGGGACCUGACAGUUGCUAAAUAUUAAAGAAAGACUCUAAGAGAGAACCCACUUUAAAGAAAGAUGGACUCCACCAUGAGCCUGGACAUCCAAGGGGUGUGGAGGUCUUGAGUGUGGAGCACUCAUCCAUCCUGGGAGUUCGAGAGUAGGAGUUGUAGAGGACGAAGGUGCUGAAGUGGAACUCUGUACUAUCUUGGGACCCUGCUGUGAGAUCCUUCGUGCAGUGAAGGGUUAACUCAGCACGGGUGGGAUGUGCAGACCCUGCACAUUCUGAAGAAAAGUCUGGCCCUUAUUCAGUUCCUGGGAGAUAACUUCUAAGCCUUGGAAUAUCUUGCCUGAUAAGAGUGUCUUUGUAGAUGCAGAUAGUUUAUGCUAACAAUGGGAUUUAUGGUGGGGUCCUUGGUCUACACUGUAUCAGUUUGGCCUCUGAAGGGGCUGGAGACUGAGUAACUAAGUUUUCACAUGGGCGCUCCGUACCUACGUGAUUGAUCCCCAAUAGAAACCCAGGGCACCAAGGUUAGGGUGAACUUCUCUUGCUAGCAAUAAUACGUAUGUGUUGCCAGACAUCAUUUCUGGGAGAAGUAAGUGCUAUUUUGUAUGAUUCCACUAUGAAAGGACUGGAAGCUUAUGCCUGGUCUCUCCUGUGCUUGGUCUUAUGCAUCUUUUGCCUUUGCUGUUUUUAAUCUUUCUCGUUCACUGUAAUAAACCAUAACCGUGAGUGUAACAGCUUUUCUGUGUUCUGUGAGUCCUUCUGGUGAAUCAUGAAAUUUGAGGACGGUCUUAGGGCCCCCCAACACACCUUUACAGAACAGACCUUCAAGAAGAGAGGGGAGGGGCUGGCCCCGUGGCCAAGUGGUUAAGUUCACACGCUCUGCUGCAGGCAGC